GUCCGAGUACACAGUUAUUAAGGUCUUUCCUCUUCGCGAGGAAAGACCUUAUUGUUUUUCUCCUGUUUUUUUUUUUUUUUUUUUUUUUUUUUUUCAUCCAGCAUUUGUUUGACAUGUCCUCCCCUCGUUUCUAUUGGAGUUAUCAAGACCAAAUAUGGACCAUCGGUAGACCUCAUCAUGAAGUAUUACCAGAUGAGGCUGUCUAGGAUUUCAUCAUCCCCUUUAGAAGUUAUCUCCCUUUUAUUGGGUUUUUUCGACAUGGCCCCCCUCGUUGUUUUUAAAGAUAUCAUGACCUUAUUUGGACAAAAGUUAGAUCUCAUCAUGAUGUGUUACCAUAUGAGGCUGCUAAGGAUUUCAUCAUUCCCUAUGAGAGUUACGUCCCCUUGAAGCAAUUUCUUUCUUUUACAUUUUCUUCAAAAAGUGUUCAAGAUAGAAUCGAUUUGAAAACGGCAACAUGUACAAGACCAGAUGGCAAUGAUAAUAAACAUAUACAAUCAGUUGGUUGUUAACCCUUAUAAGGAGUUAUUUCCCUUGAAAAAAUAUACACAAUUUUUGAAAAAUUGUAUCUCGAGAACCGGAAGUCGUAAAGACUUGGGACUUACACCAAUAAUCUUAAGUUCAUGUGACCUUUAAUUUGCACCCAAGGUCAAAGGUCACCAAGUGCAAAAAAAAAAUACGCUGCAAUUUCAAGCUUGC
rnacentral:lncRNA from 1 species